CGUGAAGGAAGCGGUUUUCGGAUUGUAAACUUCUAUCAGCAGGGAAGAAAAAAGACUGUACCUGACUAAGAAGCCCCGGCUAACUACGUGCCAGCAGCCGCGGUAAUACGUAGGGGGCAAGCGUUAUCCGGAUUUACUGGGUGUAAAGGGUACGUAGGCGGUUUAUUAAGUCAGAUGUGAAAGCCCGGAGCUCAACUCCGGGAUUGCAUUUGAAACUGGUGAACUAGAGUACAGGAGAGGUAAGUGGAAUUCCUAGUGUAGCGGUGAAAUGCGUAGAUAUUAGGAAGAACACCAGUGGCGAAGGCGACUUACUGGGACUGUAACUGACGCUGAGGUACGAAAGCGUGGGGAGCGAACAGGAUUAGAUACCCUGGUAGUCCACGCCGUAACGAUGAAUGCUAGGUGUCGGGAGUCGAAUCUCGGUGCC
rnacentral:rRNA from 1 species